UGGGGAAUUUUCCGCAAUGGGCGCAAGCCUGACGGAGCAAUACCGCGUGAGGGAGGAAGGCUUUUGGGUUGUAAACCUCUUUUCUCAAGGAAGAAGCACUGACGGUACUUGAGGAAUCAGCAUCGGCUAACUCCGUGCCAGCAGCCGCGGUAAGACGGAGGGUGCUAGCGUUGUUCGGAAUCACUGGGCGUAAAGGGCGCGUAGGCGGCCUGGACAGUCAGAUGUGAAAGCCCGGGGCUCAACCCCGGAACGGCAUUUGAUACUGCCAGGCUGGAGGUCGGAAGAGGAGGGUGGAAUAUCCAGUGUAGAGGUGAAAUUCGUAGAUAUUGGAUGGAACACCGGUGGCGAAAGCGGCUCUCUGGUCCGAACCUGACGCUGAGGCGCGAAAGCGUGGGGAGCAAACAGGAUUAGAUACCCGUGUAGUCC
rnacentral:rRNA from 1 species